AGAGCUCAUUCGCAAGAAAGUCCGUGACUCCUCGCCUUCCAUUGAAUUACCAGGACUGCCCUUGCUCAGUAGCCGUGACAUUCCCUGUUUCCUACUCCCCUCAAAUGCAAAUGAAUACAACUUCGUCCUUUCAGCGUUUGAGAAGCACCUAGAGAUGCUCCACCGUGAUACCAACCCAACGGUACUGAUAAACACUUUCGAUGCAUUGGAACCAGAGGCCCUAAGGGCCGUCAGUAAGUUUAAGUCGAUUGGAGUUGGACCCUUGUUUCCAACCGCUUUCUUGGGUGGAAAAGAUCCAUCCGAUACUUCAUUUGGAGGUGAUCUUUUCCGUCGUUCAAAGGAUUAUAUUGAAUGGCUGAACUCAAAGCCUGAAUCUUCUGUCAUUUACGUGUCAUUUGGAAGCCUAGCGGUGUUAUCGAAGCAACAGUCUGAGGAGAUUGCUCGUGGAUUGCUGGACAGUGGCCGGCCUUUCCUGUGGGUCAUAAGAGCCAAGGAGAAGGGAGAAGAAGAGAAAGAAGAAGAUAAACUAAGUUGCUACGCAGAAUUAGAACAACAAGGGAUGAUAGUACCAUGGUGUUCUCAGGUUGAGGUUCUCUCAAAUCCAUCACUGGGUUGUUUCGUGACUCAUUGUGGGUGGAAUUCAACCUUGGAGAGCUUGGCUUCUGGGGUGCCAGUUGUGGCAUUUCCUCAGUGGACCGACCAAUCCACGAAUGCAAAGCUAGCCGAAGACGUGUGGAAAACGGGUGUACGGGUGACCGUGAACCAAGAAGGAAUAGUUGAAAGCGAUGAGAUUAAGAGGUGCUUGGAAUUGGUCAUGGGAGAUGGAGAGGAGGCGAAAGAAAUGAGAAGGAAUGCAAAGAAAUGGAAGGGUUUGGCAAGGGAGGCUGUGAUGGAAGGUGGAUCAUCUGACAAGAAUCUUAAGAAUUUUAUGGAUGAGGUCAUACAAGGUUACUAGCUAGAUAUUGUGGUUGUAUCUCUUGGAGUUUAUGUUAAGACUCCCCGAUUAAUUUAAAUAUUUUACAAGAAGAUUUUUAUUAUUUAUGAUGUUAAUACAAGUAGUAGUAUUAAUUAAUGGUAGAGGGCAUAUCUAAAAUUAUGGGAGAUUCAUUGCUUCCUGAAGGCCCUAUCACAAAGGAUCUGUCAAAUGCGUGGCUAAGGUGCUGUUUGGUAAAUGUCCGUUACCAGCCAAAAUUUUGCAAUUAUUGCUAAUGGGAAUCAGGGAAACCCCAAACUGGCCUUGAUGGUCCUUGCGUAAAGACCCAUCCAAUUCUUUACAUUGUGGCCACUGAUUUGGUGUCUUAUCCUCUCAUGCCCAUCACUUCAUGUUUACAAAUUGAUAUUGUAUUCAUAGCUAUUUUUGAUGAAGGUUCAAUUGGCAAGAAGUAUUUUUGCCUUGGGAAGAUGUUGGUUAUGGAUUCAAAGCAAAAUAACAGAUUAAAAAAAUGAUCCUUGUACAAAUUUUUGGGUGCCUCUAUUAAUUAAGUGAAUAUUAUUAUUUAAUUGAUAAAUUAAUAAUUUAUUAAUUUAAUUACUUAUUAAUUAAAUCUCUGGAAUAAUUCUAUUAUGGAACCUAUCUUGCACUAAGAAGCAUCCAUAGCGAUAAUAAUAUUAAAUAAAUUUUUGUUAUAGUACGAGAAUGUUACAUCAGACCUUUUUUUUUUUUUUUUUUUUUUCAUAUUAGGAAUAGUUGAAGAUGAGAUUCAAGUAAACAUCAGUUUUAAGAAGAAAUAACACAUAUAUUUUAAGAAGGAUUCUUGAUAAAACAUAUGAAUUUAAUUACACAUUAGAAAAUUAUUAAUUUCUAUAAUAUGUGGAUUUUAUAUGAAACUACAUAGAUUUUUUAUUUUAUAAAUUUAUCAAAUUAUUAGUUUAGCACGGUGGCCCCAAGUUUAGAUUAAUUAAAAAAAAUUAAUUGAAGUUCUUAAUUAAUUAAAUAUUAAAUUAUUAUAAAGUUUUAUUGUAUUUUAUUUUCAUGGUUCUAAAAAUUGGAUUGAACUAGUCGAUUUGAUUGGUUUGAGCAUUGAUUGACUAUGUAUUUUACAUAUGAGAUCGAUUAUGAGUUGCACUUUCAUCCCAAGGUAUUUUAAAAUUAGGAAAAUCAAUCCCAAGGUAUCUAUUUUUCUUUUCUUAGUCUAUUCACUAUUGUCCAAACACUCCAUAUGUGGAAUGUGGAAUGUAACUUGGAGGGGCUUGAAUAUGCAGAGUUUUAUAACUUUGCACAUUAAUGUCUCAAAGUGUUAAAAUCUUUUACAACUAAUUGUAGAUAAGUUUAGUAUUGACAAAUAAUUUUAUUACAAUUAAAUAAAAUAUUAGAAUUUUUUUAUUAUCCUACUAAUUUUAUGACAAUCAAAUUUAUACAAAAGUAAUUCUUGGUGUCUCGUGUUACUAAAAACAGAAACUCACUUAAGAACUCAUCACGCCUUUGGUGGAGAAAGAUACUUCAUGGGAUGCUAGUAUUAAUUCUCAAGCAGUGGACCUAGGUGAGAGUAAGAAGAAAACCAAAAUAGUAGAACACUCAUCUAAAUUGUCCCAAAAAAAUGGAGGACAAAAUUCCCAAGAAAGUUCAAUAAACAAGUACAAGAAAAGCCAUGAAAGCCCAUUAUUUUUGGAAACAAUGUCAAAUAUUGAAGAAAUUGUCAAAGCAAAAUAUUGAACUUUCAACUUUAGGCACUUAAACAUACUAAUAAGGGGGGGAAUGAACAUAUUACAUAUGACAGUCCUUUAUCGUCGUAUUGACUUUUUUGAUAUGGUGGUAAAGUAUGAAGUGCUUGCAAGAGGGCUAUUAUCAUAUAUGGAAAAUGAUGAGAAAUCCAUACUAUAUAUGGUGAGCUAGAAAAGAAAAAGGCAAGCUAGUGAAAAGAUGCAAAGCCUUGCACUCUAGUUACAAGACGAGUUGCUUUUGUUUGAGGUGCACUUCUACUCACCCAUUAGCCAUAAAUGUAUGCAUUAUUCACAUGCAUUCACUUGGGUCAAGCAUUUUAAUUGUUCAUCUUCAUUACCAAAAAGAAUAAGUUAUUAGCUAGCUAGGUGAUAGAUGAGAAAUAUGUAUCAAGUUAGAAAAAUGCUAAGUUACAUAAUAGGUAUCACACUGAAUUCUAAAUUUGAGCUACUAAUGUGUGGAACAAAACAUGGAUUGUAAAAUACCAAUACUAAAAGAUGAGACUUAGAUAUAAAGAAAUAAAAUAAAAUAAAGUAGAAAAAAAAUAUAAUCUUAGUAUAAUUAAUAAAUAGAAACUUGUUAGAUGCAUGAACAAAAAAGAUCAUUUUUCCACAUAUAUUGACUUUUUGUCAGCUAUCCCUUUUUUUUAUGAGGUAUGGAAAGCAAUUUCCCUAUCAUAGAAUGAUUAAUAAAUGCAUGGGAAAAUAAUUGAACACAUUAAUGAGAUUCAAAUUCAAGAUUCAUAAGCCAAGGUACCUAUUAAAAGCUGCUAGUUGACCUAUAAGUUUAAGCUGAUAGAAAAAUAAUGAUAUCAAGCUUACCAGGAUUAGAUGAAGGGAUUAUAAAAAAGAUAAAAAUAAAAUUAUUGUGUGCAUUCCAAGAAUAGCGACUUGUGAUUGUAUGAGUGGGUGCAAAAAGUGAAGUUAGCCUAUAAGAUUCAUUUCUCCAAUCCUCUCAACAAAGACCACUAGACUGCUAAAGAAUUAUUUGCUACUACAAAUGAGCAACUCCAUCAAGAAGCUAAGGAAUGGCUAAUGCUUACCAUAGAGAAUUGCACCACUCUUUCUAUUUUCAUAGCCACUGUUGCCUUUGCUACAACCUACAUGGUACCAGAGUAAAAAACUUAGAGAUAUGAAGAAAAGAAGAGAUGCGGAGCACCUAUUUGAGAGAAAAUCGGAGAGAUAAAAACUAAAAAAAUUGAACAACUUAGUAUCAUUGAUAAGAACUUUGUUUCUUAUAUACAAAUAUUCAGAAAUUAGUUACAAACAACUGAUUACUACUCAAAAAGUGCUAUUUGAUAGCUUAUAAUUAAUCCUUUUAAACACUUUUGAGUAGUAGUUUUGGCCUUUUAACUCAAUUGGCAUGUUAAGGACCCUUGAAAGCAAUUUUAAUCACUUUGUGUAAGUUUUGGUGUUUUUGUUAGUAUUUUGAUCACCAAAGCAAUUCAAGAUUGAGGAGAAUUUUGAGGAAUCUUGGGCAAAGAUUGGAAGUCAUUUGCCAAGAGUAAAUCCGAAGUGCAAGGAGAAAAAGUAAAGAGAAUCUGCCAUGAAGCAUAUUCUUGAUGACAGUCGUGGCAGCCACUUUUGGAGCACUUUCUGAAGUCCAAUUGAUGCAUGCUAUAUACCAUUUCAAAGAUCAGGAAGUCAACAAUCUAAUGCUUCAAACGGUGCACAAUUCGGAGUUGAAACGAAGAAGUUGCAGCCAUUGCAAGCCAAUCACUCCAAGCUGAAGGAAGCAUUUUCCAAAGUGUUGCGAAAUCACCCUUUUGUUGCGAAGUGAUUUCGCAGCAUUUUUGUACAGUAUGGUGUAUUUCCUCCUGAAGUUGCCCGAUAUAUGCCGCAAGCUGGAAGCUGAGAGCAUCAAGGUAGAAGCCAACUUCGCAGCCCUGCGAAGAUAGCAUGUUGUUGCGAAAUGAUUUCGCAGCCCUUCUUGAGUGUCUGCGAAAUCUCGCAGACACCAUUUUCUCUUGCGGAAUGGUUCCUGGAGCAUCCCGAUAUUUGCUACCGACAUUGGGAGAUAUUUUACAUCAGAUUUUUGUUGUCUAAAUCCCAAAAUACUCCUUGUAAGCCACCAAUUACAAGAUUCCUUAGCUUUAAGUUAGUAAAAAGAGAAAAUAUCUAUGUAAUAAUUAGUUUUAUAUUAUGUUCAUAUAAAUACCUCUCGGGAGCCUGUUCUCAGAGAGAGCCUUUUGUAAAGUUUUAGGUAAGCAAGUAAAGUUCAGUUCUUUGUAUUACCUUACCUUCUCACUUUGUAUAUUUUAUUUUCUUACUAAGUUAUGAACUCUCUGAGGAGUUUUCCCCAGAGAAUGAGUAACUAAACCUCUAAUUCCUUGGAGCUAAGGUUGCCGGGGAAGGUUCCAAGUGCAAGAAUGCAAAGCUUUGUGGUUUUAGCUAGUAAUGAAGAGGAAGUGAAAUCCUUUAGUGAUUUCUAUGUUUUUAGUUAACUUAAAACACCUUAGAGUCAUCUGGGCCAACACUUGGUAAGGCAAGUGAUUUCCAACCAUGGAAAUGCACUAGUUUACCCUUUGCGAGCCUCUGGAAGGUGACUUUAGGGUAGGAUUUUCUAGAAUAGCCAACACUUGGUAAGCUUUUGGACUCCAAGGAGACAUCCAUUAGUUAUCUCUUGCGAGCUUUUGAAGGGAAGUCCAAGGUUAAAGAUCAUCUUGAAUGGUAAGUGCUCGUGAGAGGCAUGAACCAUUGCAAGUUGUAUCAAUGAGAGAAUUAAAGUUGAAAUCCAAUUAAAGGAUGUAUCUGUACAACACCGGUUAGAGAAUUGACUAUAUGUUGAAUCUCUAACGCGAGGAAAGGAACCAUCUGACCGGAGCUAUGUCUUUUGCAUGAGGAACCACCCCAGUGAACCUAACUCUCCAAGGAAUGCUUUUCUUCCUAAGUUAUUCCGAGUACUUGUUAUGUUAGUUAGUUUAAAUCUUUACCAAUCAAAGUUUGUGUUUUAUUUCUUAAGCUAACCUUGAAAUGAAACAAGACCAAUUCACUUGGAAUUGGUAUCAUUGAUAGCUUGCUAAUCCUUCCCAGUGAACGAUCCUAGAGCCGUUAUACUAUAGUAGCUUUUUCUUUGCUACCCUAGUAUAUGGUGUUAUAGGUUAUAAAUUUUGUUGAUUACUCCCUCUAUCAAGGAGCACCAGUUGGACACGAAUCAGCUGAGACACCAAUUGGGCACGAAUCAAAUGGCGCCGUUGCCGGGGAAUGUGUCAAUUUUAUAGCGAUACCAUUUUUUAGCACUUGUGAUUGUCAUCACAAGUUUGGUAACGUUUCUUUCACUUUACUAAUUCUCAUUCUUUCUUUAUUUAUUCAUAAUCCAAGUUUAUCUUUUAAAUUCAGCUUAGUUUAAUUUUGUUUUUCGUAGCCCUGUUUUCUUUUGUUGUCCUUUAUUUUCAUUUUAGUUGCAGAUAGAUACUAGUUGUGUAUGCCAAAUUGGAUACGAGACAGUGGAGGAAGACUUGUUAAGUGUGAUACACCUCAUAACAAAGAAUUUGAGUUGAGCUUGAAUAUCAUGGAAACUACACCUGAAGAUCAGCAUAGUCACCAAGGUCGUCAAGACAAUCUCAAUGAAUUCAGAUCAAUGAGGGACCGUAUGCAUCCACCUCGUAUGAGUGCACCAUCAUGUAUAGUGCCCCCUACAGAGCAGCUAGUGAUCAGACCGUAUCUCGUUCCACUUCUACCAACUUUCCAUGGGAUGGAAAGUGAGAAUCCGUAUGCAUACAUCAAGGAAUUUGAAGAUGUUUGUAAUACAUUCCAAGAGGGAGGAGCUUCAAUUGAUUUGAUGAGGCUUAAGUUAUUUUCUUUUACUUUAAAGGAUAAAGCCAAAAUUUGGCUUAAUUCUUUAAGGCCAAGGAGUAUCCGUUCUUGGACUGACUUACAAGCUGAAUUCCUCAAGAAAUUUUUUCCCACUCAUAGAACAAAUGGCUUGAAAAGGCAAAUUUCAAACUUCUCAGCUAAAGAGAAUGAGAAAUUCUAUGAGUGUUGGGAAAGAUACAUGGAAGCUAUAAAUGCUUGUCUUCACCAUGGCUUUGAUACUUGGCUAUUGGUGAGUUAUUUUUAUGAUGGUAUGUCCUCCUCAAUGAAGCAACUCCUCGAGACAAUGUGUGGAGGAGAUUUCAUGAGUAAAAAUCCAGAGGAAGCUAUGGAUUUCUUGAGCUAUGUAGCUGAUGUUUCAAGGGGAUGGGAUGAACCAACCAAAGGAGAAGUGGGGAAGAUGAAGUCUCAACUGAGUGCUUUCAAUGCAAAGGCUGGGAUGUAUACCUUGAAAGAAGAUGAUGAUAUGAAAGCAAAAUUGGCAGCUAUGACAAGAAGAUUGGAGGAGCUGGAGCUGAAAAGAAUACAUGAAGUGCAAGCUGUUGCUGAAGCACCAGUGCAAGUGAAGCUGUGUCCCAAUUGUCAAUCAUAUGAACAUUUGGUGGAGGAAUGCCCUACAAUUUCAGCUGAAAGGGAGAUGUUUAAAGAUCAAGCAAAUGUUGUUGGACAAUUCAGGCCCAAUAACAAUGCGCCUUAUGGAUAUACCUACAACUCAAGUUGGAGGAAUCAUCCAAAUUUCUCAUGGAAGGCCAGAGCAACUCAAUACCAACAGCCGGAUCCACCACCUCAACAAACUUCAAGUCUUGAUCAAGCAAUGGCUAAUCUCAGCAAGGUAGUGGGAGAUUUUGUUGGAAAGCAAGAAGCCACCAAUGCUCAAAUCUAUCAAAGAAUUGAUAGAGUAGAGAGUAUGUUGAAUAAUAUGAUGGAUGGAAUGCAAAAUGAUAUGAACCAAAAGUUUGAUAACAUCCAAUAUUCAAUUUCAAGGCUUACAAAUUUGAAUACACUGCAAGAAAAGGGAAGAUUUCCUUCUCAACCCCACCAAAACCCCAAAGGUGUCCAUGAAGUGGAAAGCUAAGAGGGAGAAUCAUCACAGAUGAAAGAUGUCAAAGCCUUGAUCACUCUAAGGAGUGGUAAAAAAAUUGAGCAGCCAACACCCAAGCCACAUGUUGAGAAAGAAGAAGAAAUAAAGAAAGGGAAGGAAAUGAAAGAUAAAGACAGUGAGGUCAGUGAAGAAAAGAAGGACUCUGAUUCAACAAUGAAUGCAAUUCCAGAGAAGGAACUUAUGAAGGAAGAAAUGCUGAAGAAAUCAACUUCUCCACCUUUUCCUCAAGCAUUACAUGGGAAAAAGGGGGUUAGAAAUGCAGCUGAAAUCCUUGAAGUAUUGAGACAAGUGAAAGUCAAUAUUCCACUGCUGGAUAUGAUUAAACAAGUUCCAACGUAUGCAAAAUUCCUAAAGGAUUUAUGUACUAUCAAAAGAGGGUUGACUGUAAACAAGAAAGCCUUAUUGACUGAGCAAGUAAGUGCAAUCUUACAAUGUAAGUCUCCAUUGAAGUACAAAGACCCGGGAAGUCCUACCAUUUUAGUCAUGAUUGGAGGAAAGAUAGUGGAAAAAGCCUUGUUAGAUUUGGGAGCAAGUGUGAAUUUGCUUCCAUAUUCCGUCUAUAAGCAAUUGGGACUUGGUGAGUUGAAGCUAAUAGCAAUCACUCUAUCUCUAGCAGAUAGAUCAGUAAAAAUUCCAAGGGGGGUAAUUGAGGAUGUCUUGGUUCAAGUGGAUAAUUUCUACUAUCCAGUAGAUUUUAUUGUUCUUGAUACAGAUCCUACUGUAAAGGAAGCUAAUUUAGUUCCUAUCAUCCUUGGAAGGCCAUUUCUUGCUACCUCAAAUGCAAUCAUCAACUGCAGGAAUGGGCUGAUGCAACUCACUUUUGGCAACAUGACACUGGAUCUCAAUAUUUUCUAUAUGUCUAAAAAGCAAAUCACUCCGGAAGAAGAAGAGGGUCCAGAAGAGCUGUGCAUUAUUGAUACUUUGGUGGAGGAGCACUGUAAUCAAAAUAUGCAAGACAAGUUGAAUGAAAGUCUUGUGAAUUUUGAGGAAGGUUUGUCUGAAUCUCCUACUGUGCUUGCUACUCUACAAAGUUGGAGAAAGAUAGAAGAGAUUCUACCUUUGUUCAAUGAAGAAGAAGAGGCAGCUGCUGAAAAAGAAAUUCCAAAAUUCAAUCUGAAGCCUCUACCUGUGGAGCUGAAAUAUACAUAUCUUGAAGAAAAUAAUCAAUGUCCUGUUGUAAUAUCUUCAUCUCUGACCAGUCAUCAGAAGAAUUGUUUAAUGGAAGUUCUCAAGAGGUGUAAGAGGGCAAUAGGAUGGCAAAUAUCCGACUUGAAAGGCAUUAGUCCUUUAGUUUGUACUCAUCAUAUAUAUAUGGAGGAGGAAGCAAAGCCAAUUCGUCAACUUCAAAGAAGGUUGAAUCCUCAUCUACAAGAGGUGGUGCGAGCUAAGGUGCUGAAGCUACUUCAGGCAGGAAUCAUUUACCCUAUAUCUGAUAGCCCUUGGGUGAGUCCUACUCAAGUGGUACCAAAGAAGUCAGGGAUCACAGUGGUUCCGAAUGAAAAAGGAGAAGAAGUUACUACACGCCUCACUUCAGGUUGGAGGGUGUGUAUUGAUUAUAGAAAGUUGAAUGCUGUAACCAGGAAGGAUCAUUUUCCAUUGCCAUUUAUUGACCAAGUGCUGGAGAGAGUCUCUGGACAUCCAUUCUAUUGUUUCUUGGAUGGGUAUUCAGGGUAUUUUCAGAUUGAAAUUGAUGUGGCAGAUCAGGAAAAGACCACUUUUACAUGUCCAUUUGGAACAUAUGCUUACAGGAGAAUGCCUUUUGGUUUAUGCAAUGCACCUGCUACAUUUCAAAGAUGUAUGUUGAGUAUUUUCAGUGAUAUGGUGGAACGAAUUAUGGAGGUUUUCAUGGAUGACAUCACUGUAUAUGGAGGUACAUUUGAGGAAUGCUUAGUUAAUUUGGAAGCAGUUCUUCACAGAUGCAUUGAAAAAGAUCUGGUGCUCAACUGGGAGAAAUGUCAUUUUAUGGUACGUCAAGGAAUUGUCCUUGGUCAUAUCAUCUCUAAAAGAGGCAUUGAAGUUGAUAAAGCAAAGGUGGAGCUUAUUGUCAAAUUACCAUCCCCAACAACUGUAAAAGGAGUAAGGCAGUUCCUUGGCCAUGCAGGGUUCUAUAGGAGAUUUAUAAAAAGGUUUUUCAAGUCUUUCAAAACCUCUUUGUGAGCUGUUAGCUAAGGAUGCUAAAUUUAUAUGGGAUGAAAGGUGUCAGAAUAGCUUUGAUCAACUGAAGAAAUUUUUAACAGCAACUCCAAUAGUGAGAGCCCCUAACUGGCAAUUACCUUUUGAACUGAUGUGUGAUGCCAGUGACUUUGCUAUAGGAGCUGUGCUUGGCCAAAGGGAAGAUGGGAAGCCCUAUGUGAUUUACUAUGCAAGUAAAACACUGAAUGAAGCUCAAAGGAACUACACAACUACAGAGAAAGAAUUGUUAGCUGUGGUAUUUGCUUUGGACAAAUUUCGUGCUUAUUUAGUGGGGUCUUUCAUCAUUGUCUUUACUGACCAUUCAGCCUUGAAGUAUUUAUUGACAAAGCAAGAUGCAAAAGCAAGGUUGAUUAGAUGGAUUCUUUUGUUACAAGAAUUCGAUCUUCAAAUCAAAGAUAAGAAAGGAGUGGAGAAUGUGGUAGCUGACCACCUUUCCAGGUUAGUUAUAGCACAUAAUUCCCAUCCCUUGCCUAUUAAUGAUGAUUUUCCUGAAGAAUCACUCAUGUUCUUAGUGAAAACUCCUUGGUAUGCUCAUAUUGCUAAUUAUUUAGUAACUGGUGAAAUUCCAAGUGAGUGGAAUGCACAGGACCGGAAGCACUUCUUUGCCAAAAUUCAUGCUNNNNNNNNNNNNNNNNNNNNNNNNNNNNNNNNNNNNNNNNNNNNNNNNNNNNNNNNNNNNNNNNNNNNNNNNNNNNNNNNNNNNNNNNNNNNNNNNNNNNCCCUAACUGGCAAUUACUUUUGAACUGAUGUGUGAUGCCAGUGACUUUGCUAUAGGAGCUGUGCUUGGCCAAAGGGAAGAUGGGAAGCCCUAUGUGAUUUACUAUGCAAGUAAAACACUGAAUGAAGCUCAAAGGAACUACACAACUACAGAGAAAGAAUUGUUAGCUGUGGUAUUUGCUUUGGACAAAUUUCGUGCUUAUUUAGUGGGGUCUUUCAUCAUUGUCUUUACUGACCAUUCAGCCUUGAAGUAUUUAUUGACAAAGCAAGAUGCAAAAGCAAGGUUGAUUAGAUGGAUUCUUUUGUUACAAGAAUUCGAUCUUCAAAUCAAAGAUAAGAAAGGAGUGGAGAAUGUGGUAGCUGACCACCUUUCCAGGUUAGUUAUAGCACAUAAUUCCCAUCCCUUGCCUAUUAAUGAUGAUUUUCCUGAAGAAUCACUCAUGUUCUUAGUGAAAACUCCUUGGUAUGCUCAUAUUGCUAAUUAUUUAGUAACUGGUGAAAUUCCAAGUGAGUGGAAUGCACAGGACCGGAAGCACUUCUUUGCCAAAAUUCAUGCUUAUUAUUGGGAAGAGCCCUUUCUUUUUAAGUAUUGUGCAGAUCAGAUCAUAAGGAAGUGUGUUCCUGAAGAUGAGCAGCAAGGGAUUCUAUCUCAUUGUCAUGAGAAUGCAUGUGGAGGCCACUUUGCCUCUCAGAAAACAGCUAUGAAGGUGUUGCAAUCAGGGUUUACUUGGCCAUCUCUUUUCAAAGAUGCCCACAUCAUGUGUAGAAGUUGUGACAGAUGCCAAAGGCUUGGAAAGCUAACAAAAAGAAAUCAAAUGCCUAUGAACCCCAUUCUAAUAGUUGAGCUAUUUGAUGUAUGGGGCAUUGACUUCAUGGGACCUUUCCCAAUGUCUUUUGGUAAUUCUUACAUCUUGGUGGGGGUGGAUUAUGUUUCUAAAUGGGUUGAGGCAAUCCCCUAUAAACAAAAUGAUCACAGGGUGGUUCUCAAGUUUCUUAAAGAGAACAUUUUCUCAAGAUUUGGGGUGCCCAAAGCCAUAAUCAGUGAUGGAGGUGCUCAUUUUUGCAACAAACCUUUUGAAGCUCUGUUAUCCAAGUAUGGAGUGAAGCAUAAGGUGGCUACACCUUAUCAUCCUCAGACUUCCGGGCAAGUUGAGCUAGCUAACAGGGAAAUAAAGAACAUAUUGAUGAAAGUGGUGAAUUCCAGUAGAAAAGAUUGGUCUAUUAGGCUUCAUGAUUCAUUGUGGGCAUAUAGAAUAGCUUAUAAGACUAUUCUUGGGAUGUCUCCUUAUCUUCUUGUCUAUGGCAAAGCAUGCCAUCUCCCUGUGGAAGUUGAAUACAAGGCUUGGUGGGCAAUAAAGAAGUUAAACAUGGAUUUGGUCAGAGCCGGAGAAAAGAGAUAUCUAGACCUUAAUGAGAUGGAGGAAUUAAGAAAUAAUGCUUAUAUCAAUUCCAAAGUUGCAAAACAGAGGAUGAAGAAGUGGCAUGAUCAACUCAUCUCCAACAAGGAAUUUCAGGAAGGGCAAAGAGUUUUACUGUAUGACACAAGACUCCAUAUCUUUCCUGGGAAGCUCAAGUCAAGGUGGAUAGACCCGUUCAUUAUUCACCGAGUAUAUUCCAAUGGAGUGGUGGAAUUAUUGAAUUCAAAUGGCAAGGAUAGCUUUAGAGUCAAUGGAUAUCGUCUCAAGCCAUUCAUGGAUCCAUUCAAACCAGAAAAGGAGGAAAUCAACCUCCUUGAGCCUCGAAAAGCCUAAGCAAAGAAGGGUUUGCUGGACGUGGUUUACCACAGUCCAAAAUUUUUGUAAAUUUUGUAAAUUUUCAAGUUUUUUUUCCAUACAUUUGAUCUUAGUUUUUGAUCUUAAAUCAUGUUUUUAGGUGUGUUUUAAUCUUUUUGAAUGAUCCCAGGUGGAAGAAAUUGCAAGGAAAUUGAAAGGAAAAGAAUCGGAUAAAAAACAGAGCAAAAACAGAGCAAAAAACAGAGCUCUGCGAGAUUUCGCAGCCUCUGCGAAAUCAGCACUAUGCUGCAAAACCAUUCCGCAACACUUUGGAGUUCUCUGCGAGAAUUUUCGCAGCUGCGAAGGCGAUUUUGGCACACGAGUGCCACUUUGCAGCACAGGAGCCCUCAUUUGGCAGCUGCGAAACGCAUUGCGAAGUGGUAAAGCCUGAUUUCGCACCAAAAGUCCCAUUCCGCAGGGUAUUUUGCAAUUGCGAAAGCGAUUUUGGCACACGUGUGCCACUUCGCAGCACAGUAACAUUAAUUUCGCAGCUGCGAAAUGCAUUGCGAAGUUGCUGCGAAAAUGACAUUUUGCUGCGAAAUUGGCAUUUUGCUGCGAAACUCAAACUGACCCUUAGUCUUCCCUUAUUCCUAUUUAUACCGGUCAUUUGAGUUGCGAAAAGGGUUUCAAAAUCAGAGCGCGCCAUUCUCGCAGACCGUCCAUCUCCUUCUUCAAGCCUCACCGCGCAAGCCUCCGGUCAUCUUCUCCGACCAUCCGUUCCGGCCAAACUUCGGUAAUCCGAAAUGGCGCGAACAAGAGGGGCUAAGUCUCCAUCUCCUUCGAGCCGCAAGAGAAGCUUGCGAAAGGAACCAGUUCCAGAUCCUAUCCCUGACCCUCCGCAGCCGAAAGCAAUUCCUCCUCCGGUGAAGCCCGCGCUGCCAAAGCCUCCGGUAAAGCCCGCGCCGCCAAAACCUCCGGCAAAACGAUACCUAACCAGGUCAGGGGGUCGGCCACUGCAAAAGAAACCCAGGGUGGAGAGCUUAGAACCCAUCGAUUUGACUGAGCAAUCUCCAGAGCCCUCGCCGGCUCCAACUCCAGUUCCCUCGCCAAUUCAGCCUCCGGUGCCAUCUCCGACGCCGCAAGCAAAAUCUCAGGAGACUCAAGCGCCACUUCCCGAGCCCCAAAUUCCAUCUGAAAUAGCUCCGGAAGAAGUAAUCAGGAGGCCGAUGCUGACCCAGCUCCCAAUUGAGGGAAAUUUGGAUUGUAGAACUCGGCCAUUCCACUCCGAGCUAGGCUUUGACAUAUCUACAUUCCAAUUGCAGCCGGAGCUUGCACAGUCAUUCAACCUUCUAAGAAGGUACCAUAUGGAGCAUCUGCUGACUCCGAGAGACUUUUUCUACCCAAGGGUGGCCAUGGAUUUCUAUCAAUCCAUGACAACCAACCAGGUCAGGGAUCCAACUUUAAUUCAUUUCACUAUUGAUGGGAGGCAUGGCAUAUUGGGAGCACGCCAUAUAGCUGAAGCCUUGCAAAUUCCCUAUGAGCCGACCCAAUUCGAUAAUUUUAGAGCUUGGACCAAUCCUACUGAGCUGGAGAUGGUGCGCACCCUAUCCAGAGGAGCUGCCAAUCGAUCAUAUCUGUUGAGGGGGGAGCUUCCUCCAAUCAUGUUUUUGAUUGAUGCAUUUUUGCGUCAUAACCUCUACCCAUUGCAGCAUUGGACUCAAAGAAGAGGAGUCCUCUUAGAAGCCCUGUACAAGAUGUCUGAAGGAUUUUUCUUUGGGCCUCAUCAUCUGAUUCUGGCAGCCCUUCUCUAUUUCGAAGAGAAGGUACACAAAAAGAAGCUUCAGAGAGCUGAUUGCAUUCCCCUCCUCAUUCCAAGGCUGCUAUGCCAAAUUCUGGAGCACUUGGGGUAUCCUUCUGAACCUCAAUUGGAGCGCAAACGCAUUUGCCGUGAGCUUUUCACUCUUAACAAAUGGAACAACAUGACAGCUUAUCGAGUUGACCAGCCUGAGCGCCCACAGCCAGCUGUAAGGAGAGCAUCCCCACGACACAUACCUGAGGGUAUAACAGUUGCUGCUCCUGCCAUUUGCAGAGCUCCACCAGCUGCUCCAGCUUCAUCUCAGCCAUCCACUUCAGCUGAGCCGAGGAUGGCCAUACCCAUUUCUGAAUAUCGAGAGUUGUGCCGUGCAUUGCAGACCCUCACAGCUUCUCAGAGCAGUCUUGCUCAAGAGAUGGCAGCCAUUAGAGCAUGCCAAGAGCAGAUGUUGGCCACUCAGGCUCAACAAGCUGCCAUCUUAAGGCAGCUCCAGCUUCAUUUCAACCUGCCACCAGCUGUUGAGCCCUCCACUUCUACUCCAGCAGAGCCACACUCUCAUCCCUCAGAGCCUCAAGCCCCAGCUGAAGCACCAACUGAAGAGGCAGAUCCAUCUGCCUAGCCCCAGCACCACCCACUCAUCAGAUCAUUAUAUAUAUAUCUACUAUCUUUGUUUUAUGUAUUUCGUUUUUUAGUUUGAAAGAAAUCCCAUUAUUUUGGUAUUAUAUUUGGGAUUGCUUGUAUUACUUUUCUUUUGCAUUGUACUUAAAUGGAUUCAAAGUAAUACAAGUUUAAUAUUUCUUGUUAACAGUUAGCAUUAAGUUAUCCUUAUUUCCUUUUCUCACAUAUUCUAUUCUUUUUGAAACAUGUGGUUUCUCCAAUUAGUAUGCGAAUUUGAUAUCACACAGGAGGUACCACUUCCUCCCUUUAAUUACAGUCACUCAUAUCACAUUGAGGACAAUGCUCAGUUCGGUUGGGGGGAAUGAGGAAGGAAGUUAUGCUAAAUUAAAGGAAGUAUGCUAAGCCUUUUUAGUAAUGCAAUUAUUUUGGUAAAUUAGUUGUAGUUUUUGUUUUUUACUCUUUUUACUCUAUUCUCCAUGAAUCUUGAGGAAAAAUUUUCAAAUUAAAACAGGAAAAAUUGAACUGUUGUUUUUCACUUGACUUAGAGUAUGGAUUAUGCUCACUAAAGUGGUUCAAUUGUUGAAGCUUCUAUUGAAAUUGAAUUUAGUUCUUCCACUUUAAGCUAUUCACACACUGUGCACAUUAGAUUCCGAUUAUAAGAUGAAAAACUAUUUCCCUCUUGACUUAGGAUAAUUUUGGGACUUGGUAUAUUUGACCUCAUUUGAUAAAAAUUGAAACACCCUGCAAAAGGCCAAUGAGCCUUUGAAAUAAAGAAAGUUGUUUGCUUGCCUUAAAACCCGAGCAAGGUCUGAGAGGUAUAUGGUGAAAAUCUUUGAAGCCUGGUGCCCUAAGCCUUAAUUGGUUGGGAGUCACCGACCUCAAUGCUCGUUACAAGGGUGAAUAGGUAGAGUAGCAUAUGGUAGGUGCUUGGGUAUUAAAAAUUCAUUCUCAAAAGUCCGGGGAAAAAUCCGAGGAGUUAGUGGUUGAAAGAUCCUUAAAGCUUGGUGCCCUAAACCUUAAUUGGUUGGGAGUCAUCGAUGGACCCCCAUUACAUGGACAAUACAGAAAGAGUACCCCAUAAGUUCUUUGUUAAAAAAAAAAAAAAAAAAAAAAAAGUGUGUUCUUUCUUUAUUGAUUUUGGUCAGUUUGCUAAGUGUUGAAAAGAGAUAGGUUGGGGGGAGAGAUUAGUUUAGCAUAUUAUUCUCGGAAGCUAAGGAACCAAUACACAUAGAUUUUUGAGGAAGAAUAAAGUUUGGUUCUUUGAAAGUGGAAAUGAUUUUAAAACUUCAGUUUGCAUAAUGCAUUCCCUUGUUUGACAGUGUUUAGCAUAGUUUGUUAUAACUCUUGUUGAAAUUUGCUUUUAUAUUUCUUUAAGGUUUCAUGAGAGAAUUAGAUCAUCAUGCCACUUGAGAAUUGUUUUUGAUCAGCAUGAUGUUGUAAAUUAUAGUUUAAUUUGUUGUUUAUUUUCAUUUUUCUCUCCUAUAUUGCUAAGGGACUAGCAAUAUGUCGGUUGGGGGGAGUGAUUACUACUCAAAAAGUGCUAUUUGAUAGCUUAUAAUUAAUCCUUUUAAACACUUUUGAGUAGUAGUUUUGGCCUUUUAACUCAAUUGGCAUGUUAAGGACCCUUGAAAACAAUUUUAAUCACUUUGUGUAAGUUUUGGUGUUUUUGUUAGUAUUUUGAUCACCAAAGCAAUUCAAGAUUGAGGAGAAUUUUGAGGAAUCUUGGGCAAAGCUUGGAAGUCAUUUGCCAAGAGUAAAUCCGAAGUGCAAGGAGAAAAAGUAAAGAGAAUCUGCCAUGAAGCAUAUUCUUGAUGACAGUCGUGGCAGCCACUUUUGGAGCACUUUCUGAAGUCCAAUUGAUGCAUGCUAUAUACCAUUUCAAAGCUCAGGAAGUCAAUAAUCUAAUGCUUCAAACGGUGCGCAAUUUGGAGUUGAAACGAAGAAGUUGCAGCCAUUGCAAGCCAAUCACUCCAAGCUGAAGGAAGCAUUUUCCAAAGUGUUGCGAAAUCACCCUUUUGUUGCGAAGUGAUUUCGCAGCAUUUUUGUACAGUAUGAUGUAUUUCCUCCUGAAGUUGCCCGAUAUAUGCCGCAAGCUGGAAGCUGAGAGCAUCAAGGUGGAAGCCAACUUCGCAGCCCUGCGAAGAUAGCAUGUUGUUGCGAAAUGAUUUCGCAGCCCUUCUUGAGUGUCUGCGAAAUCUCACAGACACCAUUUUCUCUUGCGGAAUGGUUCCUGGAGCAUCCCGAUAUUUGCUAUCGACAUUGGGAGAUAUUUUACAUCAGAUUUUUGUUGUCUAAAUCCCAAAAUACUCCUUGUAAGCCACCAAUUACAAGAUUCCUUAGCUUUUAAGUUAGUAAAAAGAGAAAAUAUCUAUGUAAUAAUUAGUUUUAUAUUAUGUUCAUAUAAAUACCUCUCGGGAGCCUGUUCUCAGAGAGAGCCUUUUGUAAAGUUUUGGGUAAGCAAGUAAAGUUCAGUUCUUUGUAUUACCUUACCUUCUCACUUUGUAUAUUUUAUUUUCUUACUAAGUUAUGAACUCUCUGAGGAGUUUUCCCCAGAGAAUGAGUAACUAAACCUCUAAUUCCUUGGAGCUAAGGUUGCCGGGGAAGGUUCCAAGUGCAAGAAUGCAAAGCUUUGUGGUUUUAGCUAGUAAUGAAGAGGAAGUGAAAUCCUUUAGUGAUUUCUAUGUUUUUAGUUAACUUAAAACACCUUAGAGUCAUCUGGGCCAACACUUGGUAAGGCAAGUGAUUUCCAACCAUGGAAAUGCACUAGUUUACCCCUUACGAGCCUCUGGAAGGUGACUUUAGGGUAGGAUUUUCUAGAAUAGCCAACACUUGGUAAGCUUUUGGACUCCAAGGAGACAUCCAUUAGUUAUCUCUUGCGAGCUUUUGAAGGGAAGUCCAAGGUUAAAGAUCAUCUUGAAUGGUAAGUGCUCGUGAGAGGCAUGAACCAUUGCAAGUUGUAUCAAUGAGAGAAUUAAAGUUGAAAUCCAAUUAAAGGAUGUAUCUGUACAACACCGGUUAGAGAAUUGACUAUAUGUUGAAUCUCUAACGCGAAGAAAGGAACCAUCUGACCGAAGCUAUGUCUUUUGCAUGAGGAACCACCCCAGUGAACCUAACUCUCCAAGGAAUGCUUUUCUUCCUAAGUUAUUCCGAGUACUUGUUAUGUUAGUUAGUUUAAAUCUUUACCAAUCAAAGUUUGUGUUUUAUUUCUUAAGCUAACCUUGAAAUGAAACAAGACCAAUUCACUUGGAAUUGGUAUCAUUGAUAGCUUGCUAAUCCUUCCCAGUGAACGAUCCUAGAGUCGCUAUACUAUAGUAACUUUUUCUUUGCUACCCUAGUAUAUGGUGUUAUAGGUUAUAAAUUUUGUUGAUUACUCCCUCUAUCAAGAAGCACCAGCUAGACACGAAUCAGCUGAGACACCAAUUGGGCACGAAUCAACAACUAACAACCUAUUAACUACUUAACAACUCUAACUAACAUCCAACCUCAAGCACAUAGGGUGAGAAAGAACUAUGAGCUUGCUCUAGAGAUGAAGGAAAUGCUGAGUGGAGAGAGCUUUGGUUAAGAUAUCAACAGCUUGGUCUCCAAAUGGAAGAAAUCAAACAUCAAAAGUUUUCUACGGGACUCAUUCUUAAACAAAAUGAUAAUUAAUUUCCACAUGUUUAGCCCGAGAAUGAAGGACAAGAAUUACAGCCAAAUAACAUGAACUAAAACAGGGGAACAAAGGGCUCUUUAAGAAAGGAUUGAAUCUAAGUGAGUACGACCGUUGCAUUGGCCAAGCCCCUAUACUCGGACUCGGUAUAAGAGUGUGAACCACCUUUUGUUUAGAAGCUGACUAAGAGACCAGAUUACCACAAAAAAAAAACAAAAAAAAAAAACAAAACACAGUAGCCACUAGUGCUACGUCUAUCAUUAGGGCAAGAUACCCAAUCGACAUUUGUAUAAGCAACAAGAUUGAGUGAGGAAGAUGGUUGGAAAAAAAAAACCCAUAAAACAACAAACCUUUGAGAUAACAAAUAACAUGCUUCAUAUCUUGAAAAUGAGUAGAGGUUGGAGCAUGCAUAAAUUGGUAAAUCUUAUUAACAGUAUAAGGAGUGUUUGGUCUAGUGAUUUUGCAAUACUGAAGGGCACCUACAAGACUCUAAUAGAAAGUGGGAUCCUCUAAUUUGGUACCAUCAACUAUGAAUAAAACAAGACCAGUAGCCAUUAAAGAAGCAACAAGCUUUGAUUCCAACAAAUCAACAUGCUGAAGAAGAUCACAAAUGUAUCUAUCUCGGCUUAAAUGCAAAGAAAAUCCAAAAUUGAGCACCUCUAUUCUAAGAAAGAAAUUGAGAGGACCAGAUUCUUGAGAGCAAAGCAAGAGUUUAAGGAAGAUAUAAGUUGUUCAAUGAGCAAGGAAUUUGAAUUAGUGACAAUAAUAUCAUCGAUAUAAACUAAGACAACAAGCAUGAUAGAAUUGUUAUGGUAACCAAACAUUGAUGUAUCUACUUAAGAUAUGGAAAAACCCCAUUUAAAUAAUGCAGAAUUCAGUUUCGUGAACCAAGCCCAUGGAGUUUGCUUCAAGCCAUACAAGGCCUUGGUAAGCUUACAAACAAAAUUGGGCUUAGAAGGAUCCACAAAACCCGGGGGUUGUAUCUAAAAACUUGCUCAAAUAAAUCACCAUUAUGAACAUCAAGUUGUUGGAUAGACCAAUUUCUACUCAAUGCCAAAGAGAGAACCACACUAAAGGUUUAACCACAAAACUAAAGGUUUCAAAGAAAUCAAAACUGUGAGUUUGAUGGAAUCCUUUCACCACUAAAUGUGCCUUAUAACAAUCAAUAGUUCCCUUAGGUUUAAACUUCAAUUUAUAAACCCACUAACAUCCAAUGGUAUUCUGAUUAGACGGAGGAGGAACCAUGACGUAUGUUUUAUUUUUCAUAAGAGCUUCAAAUUCAAGAUGCAUAGCCUAUUGCCAUUCAGGAACUUUAGCAGUUUCCUUAAAGGAAUCUAGUUCACAAAGUGGAGGAAAAAUAGUCUUAGUAGGAGACAAAUAUAACUUGAGUUCGAAAAUGCCAUUUUUGGCACGUAUUAUCAUGAGAUGACAAGGAGUAAGAACAUAAGAGGAAAGAGGUUGGGUUGUUGGAAUUGCUGUAACCUUAGAAAAGGAAAUUGACACACUAGAAUUAGAUAUUGGAACCAACUUUGAAGGUGGACAUAAUGGGGGAGGUAAGAGGGAAGGUAUUGGAGAUGAUGGUACUACCAAGGGAAUGACACAAUGAGAGGGGGAAACAGAAUAAGAAGUUUGAACUAUGGAAGACUUAGCAAAUCGGAAAUCUAGUUCAUAAAAAAUAACAUGUCGUGAUAUAUGUAUUUUAUGAUUGGACAUGUUUAAAUAAAGAUAUCCUUUAUGCUUAGAACUAUAGCCAAUAUUUUAACGGAUUGAUAUGCAAGUUUAUGACAAUUAAAAUGAUGUAGAAAAGGAUAACAAAUGUAGCCAUAGACAUGAAGAAAAUAAUAAUUUGGUAGACAAUGGUAAAGAGUCUUAUACGGAUCGAGAAGAGAUAUUCAACAUAGAGGUAGGAAGUCUAUUAAUCAAAUAUAAGGUAGAUUGGAAAACAAAAGGUCAAUAUUUAAGUGGAAUAGAAGCACGAGCAAGCAAAGAAAGACCUAUUUCAACCACAUGUCUAUGUUUUCUCUCCACAUGACCAUUUUGUUGAAAAGUAGAUGGACAAGAUAUUCUAUGCAGAAUCCUAAAUUUACAUAAAGUAUCAAUAAAGGCUUGAAACUCCCCUCCCUAAUCAGUUUGAAGCACUCUUAACUUUAGUGUCAAAUUGAGUCUCAGUUAUCACUUUAAAUUGCAAAAAAACAGAGAUAGCUUGAUUUUUAAAAGCUAGUAGAUACAACCCCAAGAAAAUCUUGUAUGGUCAAUUGGAAAAAAGUACAAAGUAUCUUGCAUCAUUAGCACCAACAAUAACGGUAGGACCCCAUAGAUCAAAAUGUAUAAGAGCAAAAGGCUAAGAGACUCUGGAUUUAGACAAAGUAAAAGGUAAGUGAUGACUCUUUGCCAUUUGACAAGGUUCACAAAUACCUAUCCAAUGUUCUGAGGGCAUACUACAAUCACUCAAAACUUUAUUCACUAUUUUACGUGCAAGAUGGCCUAAUUAAAAUGUCAUAGAGCUACCUUAUUGGGAAGUUGUAAUGCAAAUAACAUACACGGGACCUCAAUUGCCAAGCUUGUUCUUCUAACAAUUUUAUUACCUUUAGAAUCUAUAUUUUUUUUACCAGAAACUGAAGAUGACAAUUUGUAUAAACCAUGGUUAAGGUUGCCUUGGAGAAGAGCCUUCUUUGAAGCUUGAUCCUUCAUCACAAAUCCAUUAGUAAAGAAUUCCAUAGUAACAUUAUUGUUAGUACACAACCUAUUCACACUUAUCAAAUUGGUUGUAAGUUGUGGAACAUGUAGAAUAUUCUUUAGAUUUAAAGACUGAGAAACUGACAAAAUAGUAGAGUAUCCAAUAUUUGAGAUAUUUAAGCAACUACAGUUUCCAACGACAACUUUGUCCAAACCAGCAAAUGGAGUAUGUGCAUUCAAGUUCUUGAAAUUUAAAGUUAGGUGAUAUGUAGCUCUAGUAUCCAUGUACCAACUUCCAUCUGCAAUAGUGGCCAGAGUUGCAAUCAUUGCAGCAAGAUGAGGUUACUCAAUUCUUAGGGUUCUUUUUCCUCAUUGGUUUUUGACUCGGAUGAGUUAACUUAGUUCCUAGAGCUCUUCCUCAAUGACAAACAAUUUUGAUUAGAGUGUGGCAAGGAGUUCAAUGAGCAAGCUGGUGAUUGAUCAAGGCCUCACUAGUGAUGAGGACGUCGGUGAUAGCAACAAUCUAGUUGGAGAAACGAUUUUUUCCAACACCCUCAAACACCGCAAAAAUGAUCAUAUCGUCAUCAUGAUCUUAGAUAAGAGAAACUUAAAGUUUUGUUUAUUCCAAUUUCAAAUUGAAAACAAAAUUGUAGAGCACUAGAUACAAAAUAAAAAAAAAAUAAAAGAACGAAAAAUCACUAUAGAAACCUUAGAAAACACACUAGGAAGAAAAAUCAUAGACAAACUCACAGAAGAAUUUUAUGGCUUUAGGAGUUGGAGCCGGAGUUGGAGAAGAGUCUUAAUGGACAUUGAGGAAGGACAAGAAGAGGUGUUCAACUAUAAUUUAUGUAGGCUAUAUUGUAAAGGUUGGCUUUAAAAUGUAUCUAGUAGCGACCUAAUUAGGGUUCAAAGUAUCGGCCAAGUCUGAUACGACUCGGCCGAGUCAUAUCUGUCUCGACACUUGUCGCAACGAGACCGAUACCAGAUACAAUAUAAUGCAUGAACUCGACUGGGAAUCGGUUAGACUUUGCUAAGUUUUCGAGUUAACUCGGUUGACUCGGUUAGGUUAUAAAGAAUUUUCAAAUUUUUCAUAAAAUUGAAAAUAAUAAUAAUAAUAAAUCAGAGAUUGCCCUUUCAAAAGCAAACACCUAUUUUAAAAUUUUAAACCAUCAAUGAGAAGAUCAAAGAAGACCAAGAAGAAAAAACCUAACCUGUGACUCGUUCGGAAAUAAGUGGAGAAACCACCAAAGGAUGAGGGCAUAAUUUAGGAUUUACUUACUUGAUUUUCCUCAAAAUCGAGCAUUACCGAAGGGUGGAGCUUUGGUGUCGGCGAUGGUGACUCAUCAAGUGGAUUGAAUCUUUCACCGGGGACAUCAACAAGACAACCCCCUCAUAGUCAGAUUGCUCCCCCUCCCGUGUUAGGUCUUGCACGGUUGCAAAUUUGCGAUUGUAGGUGGUAUCGUCUAUUUUGGGUCUUGACAGUAAUGAUGACGUGCGAGGGUGGGAGAUUGGGAGCUUAAAUUAGUAAAGUAAAAAAUUGCAUUUUAUAUGGAUUUACAUGGAGAAUUGAGUCCCUGAUUUACAUGGAAAAUACCUUUCAUAUACACACUUUAAUAUGAUUUAAUAGUAACAUAUUAGGAGAAUUGAGUACCCGAUUUGCUAAAGUAAAAUGAUAUGAAAGGUAUAGAUGAAGUUUAAUGAUAAAUUAAAGUGUUUAUAUAGCAAAGUGAAAAUUAAAUCCUCAAUUUUUAAUAUUAUCACAAAAUAACUUUGAGCUAAAUGUGAAAAAAAAAUGGUUUUAUUAAAAUUUUCACCUUAUUUAAUUAUAUCUAUUUUAUUUUUUGAUUUAUAUAAUAUUUUUAUAAUUUUUUGAAAAUUUUAAUUAUCUUAUUUUACGUAUCGUCCAAUACCGAACCGAAACACUGAAACCAAUAUGCCUCGUGAUCCUCCGAGUCAAUGAUCGAUACCACGACUUUGAACCAUGGACCCAAUGGAAGUGGAGUCUAUAGGAACAUCUAUGGUAACGAUCCAAAAAUUAUUGCAGGCAUAAGAGAAUAUAUAAUAGCACUUUCAACAGUAAUCAUGACUAUGUAUCUUUCCUGGAAAUUUCCCACCAAUCCCAAUCCCAACCCCUUUAGAUGCAUGUGGUUGGAAUAUGCAUGAAGCUAUAUAUUACGUGGUUGGGAUAUGAAUGAGGCUAUAUACUAUUUUUAGUUGUGGAUUUUCUUAGCCCCUACUAAAACUAUGUCGCCAUUUCCUAUUCUUCUUGUAAUGUCAAGUUGGAAAGUUAAAUUUAAUUUAAAAACUUUCUAAAUAUUAAAUUUAGAGUUAGUUUCUAAAUGUUAAGGAGAACAUUUUAUUUUGAAUGAUUAUUUAGUUUUUGUAUUUGAGUAUUCAAGUCCUGAAAGGUCUCUAUAUUUCAUUAUUAAGAUUUUCUAUUUAGACAAAUGUGAGUAUAUUUAUAAACAAAAAAUUAUAUAAUAUAUACAUUUUUUAUAAAAAAAAAAAGCAAUAAAAUACAAUAAAAUUUUAAUUCUCUCCUAUUUUUAUCUUUUUUAUAAGUGUGUGUUUAUCUUUCAUCUAGAUAACUCACACAAUACUAACACAAUGAGAGUAAAAGGAGAAGGGCAAUAAAGAGUUGGGGCCGGAGAUCAUUGGAGGAACGGGUCAACUGUAGGCCGGUUGUCAAUGGGCUCAUAUAAGUAACAAAAAUUGGAAAUGGUUUCUAUAUCUUAGUGUCGUGUCUAGAAGACGACAAUCUACCUGUCAGUGUGCAGCAGAAGAGAAAGCGUGAUAUCUACUUAGAGUCAAAACAAAGGGAACCAGCUCGCAAUUCCUCCGAUACAUCAUUACCGACGUCAUAGCUCUAUUCCCCCAAUUCGUCACUACCAACGUCAUUCUAUCUCCAUUACGCAUUAUUUAAAGAGUCCCCAUGCAGAAGCUGUUCGAAACACAAGUCAGCUUUGACACAACCCCACUUCAUUGUGAUAACCUAUCCGGCACAGGUCCCUGUCCAAAGACCCAUCUUACUCUUUACAUUGUGGCCACUGAUUUGGUAUCUAAUCUCAGGCAAAAUUCACUGGUUUGAUGAAGGUUAUAGAACAAAACUUGUGUUAUUCUUAUCUUUGGUUUUGAUGAACUUUAAAGCAUUUAAAAAGAUUCAACUGGUAAGAAGUAUUUUUGCCUUGGGAAGAUGUUGGUUAUGGAUUAAAAGCAAAAAAGACCCUUGUACAUAUUUUUGGGUACCUGUCAAGCAAAUUAAUGCACAUCCGAACAUCACAACUGUUGUCUCUUAAAUUCUUCCAAUUGACCUGCUUUCGUCUUAUUGAGCGUCUGGGUUACUUGAUAAUGCAAAAACUCAUACAGUUAUUUCGAUAAAUUAAGAGCCUCGGGCAUCAAGGAAAAUCUAUUAUUACUUAAUCGAUAAAUUAAUAAUUUAUUAAUUUAAUUGCUUAUUAAUGAGAUCUCUUGAAUAAUUCUAUUAUGGAACAAGACACCAUAACAAUAUUAAAUAAAUUUUUGUCAUAGUAUGAGAAUACCACACUAGAUGUAAUAUGAGAAUGUCAUAUUUAAUUAGGGCCUUGGCUUAAAAUAAGUAAAUAAAUAAUUAAUAAUUAAAAUAUAAAUACUAGACUCACAUUUUAAACAAACACUUCUAAACUCUCAGACUCUACAAAGAACAUACACAAAGAAAUCUAGGUUCCAGAUUUGAGUGAAGAGAAAGAGAAUUUGAUUUUUUUUGUUCUUUUGUGAAAAUUUCAUGGUAAGUGAUACUUCUUAAAGUUUUCUUUUUUUUUUUUUAUAGUUUUUCUUCUUAGAAACUUUAAUUUCCUAAUAAGAUUAAAAAAGAAUUAAUGAAAACAAGAAAUUAAGAAAAUAAAUUGAAAGUAGUUAAAUCUAGAAUGAUAGAAUAAUAAUAAUAAUAAUAAUAAAAACAAUAGAAAGUUUGAUGUGUUAUUGCCGAAACCUAGAGGAAAAUUCUAUAUGAAAUAGUGGAGUUUAUGUUUUUUUUUUAAUAUAUAUAUAUAUAUAUAUAUAGGAUUUUUGGGAGAAAUAGGUAUCCAUGUAAAUAGAAAUUCUUAUGUGUAGGAGAUAAUAAUUGUAUUAAAAAAAAAUUAAUAGACUAAAACCUGGAGAUUGGUAUUCAUACAGUAAGAUUCCAAGUAUAUAGAAAGUAGAAUUACAUGGAACCUAAAAUUUGGUGCACAAUGUGAUUCUUUAUUUAAAACAAAUAGAAUUUAGUGCAUAGUAGGAUUCCUUGUUCAAAUGAAAUAGAAUUUGUUGGGAGAUACAUGGACUAAUAUUAAUUGUGAAGUUAAGAUGUAUUGUGUAUUGGUGUGAUACUGGAAGUGCAUGAGACAAACUUUUGGAGUGUUGGUAUAGGAAAUAAAGUUUUUUUAAAAAAAACUAAUCUAAUAUAAAAAUAUUGGAGGCCUCGAAUUUUAUUAUGUUAGGAUUCCAUAAUGAAUUAAAUUAAAUCAAAUUAAAUUAAUGUAAUUUAGAUUAGAUUAAUUAUAAGUGAGGGAAUUGAAAAGUUCAAGACAAUAAUUUCAAGACAAUUAAGAAAUGGAAAUUUGAUGUUUUUCCUAGAUAAAUGAAUAAUUUAUAUAUGUGUUACAAAACUAUACAUAUUUAGAAUAUAAUUAUUAUUAGAACAUUUGUUUAAAGAACCCUUAGAAUUUCUCAGGUAAUUCUUAGGAAAUUCUACUGCUUUAAUAUUUGGAGUUUGAGUCCAAUUAAGGGGACUAACUAAAUUUUUUUUUUUAUUUUAUAAAUAGUCAAAUAUAAUUUUCUUUUGAAAGUUUUAAGAAAUUGGAAAAUAAUUUUGUUAUAUUGUAUAUGUUUGCUUACACGUGUGAUAUGAAUUUUUUUGUUUAAAAGAAAAAAAAAAUUAGGACUAGUAAUCUAAUCCUUGUUAAUAAAGGAAAGUGUUUUGACUUUCAUUACCUUUGGUGAAGGUAAUGAUAAUUUGUAAACCCAAUCAUUAGAUUUGUCCUGGCUCCGCCCACCAUCAUGUAAGGAACACAUGAGGUUAGCUAUUUCUAUUAGUCUCAUUACAAUGGGCACCUCUCUAAGUCCAAAUUUUGAUGGGCAUUUUCUGUAAAAAGUUAGAAUUGUUCAUUUAAUAUGUUUGCAAAAUAAUGUUAUGCUUAAAUUAUUUUAAAAAUGACACAUGUAAUAUUAGUUGUUUUGUUGUGUUUAAAAGCAUGCUAUAAAGAUUCCUUAUUUCAUUUUUGGAAACACGCAUACUUGAUUUUCAUACCCCUCAUCGGACUUUAAACUCACUCCUUUUACUAAAAUGUUUUUAGAUAUACAUCUAAUUCUAGCAAUGAGUGAUUCGAGUAAGAGGGUUUUUCAUAGAUCCAUUUAGUUCUUAGUUUUAAGUUUAAUGUCAUAAUAACAUUUUGUUAUUAUAGUUUAAUUUAUCAUUACUAUUUUAGAUAAUAUGUUAUAUUUGAAUUAUAGAUUUCGUGCGAAAGAAUAAUUUUUUAUUAUUUCUUUGAAGAUAUAUGAUCAUUUUGAAAGUUUGCUUCUAAAAUGACCUUGGUGUUUAGCUUACGGGUCAGUAUCGUUAUACUAGACCUUCUAUUUGUAUUAUGAAACUACAUAGAUUUUUCCAUAAUAUAUUAUAUUAUAAAUUUAUCAAAUUAUUAGUUUAGCAUGAUGGCCCUAGGUUCAUAUUGAUUAAAAAAUUAUUUAAUUGAGGUUCUCUAUUAAUUAAAUAUUAAUUUAAUUGUCAGAUACUCUUAUUAUUAUUAUUUUUUAUAAAAUAUUCAAAAAUAUUCUUUGUUAUAUCUUUAACUUAAAAAUAUUUUAAAAAAAACAAGAAUAAAAAAACAUCACCAAACAAGCCCUUAUUUAUUUGUUUGUUUUUUAUGUUUUGUUUGCUAUUGUGGUUUUGUUUAGUUGUCAAGAAGUGUGAGACAGUUGAAGAAAUUGAAGUUUUUUUUUUAUAUAUAUAUUUUUUUAAUAGUAUAGGCAAAAAUUCCAAAGGUUUGAAUUGCUUCAAUUUGUUUGUUUGACUUAUGAGAAAAGGUGGGACAAAUACUUCAAUGAGUUUAUAAUCAUCAGUAGUUAACUUACUUCUCUAUCGAAAUGGUUUAAUCAUUCACACUUAAAUUAAAAGCUGGAUUAUCAAAUCCAUUUCCCUUCAUGGAAACUAGUAACUUGAUCCAUCUACUGGUCAUUUAUGGCUUGAGGUCUUGUGCCAUGCACUCUUAAGUUGAUUUCUAGCUAGAAGUCGUAGUGGUAGGGUAUUCAGGAAUCCUUGUCAUAAAAUGUUGUAAAAUUUAUUUUGUGCAAAUUGUUAAGCUACAACUCAAACCAAGGAGUUAUAUACCAUCUAGAUUGCUUGGAUGAAGAAUAUAGACCAAAUCUAUGUAUGUAUGAUAGUUGUUAAUAGGUAGCAAUAGUGGAGUUAAGCUUCAUAGGAUACUGUUUACUGAUAAAGUUUACAUCUUAUAUAGGAUGGAACGAGUUUUUGAACUUUUGUUAACAUAGAAAAACUAAUUGGGUUAGAAUUCUGGCAUAGGUUUUUGCUAUGGUGAAUCAAACAUUCGGGGGACAUCUACCUAUGACACUCCCAAGACAACUAAUUAGUUCUUCACUAGAAUGAGAUGAUCGAUCUCUAUUUGAGCAAUUGGUUAGAUUAAUCCGAUAACUUUUUUUUUAAUUCUCCCAAUAAGAAAACCUUUCUUAAUUAUUCCAACAUGAGAAAUUUUUUUUCUACCUAUGGUUUUUUCAAUGACUAAAUAUAUUUAUUCCUUAGUAUCUAGUACUUUAAGAAAAACAAAAGUUAAAUUGAUUUUAUCAAAAUCUAAAACUUAAUUAAGUCAGAUAAUUAAAAUAUAAUUAAUUGAAAGUUAUCUUAAGCACAUUAAAUUUUACCUCUUACCACCUAAAAUGAUUUCAAAUUUUAUAGUUGUGAUAGAUCCAAGUUGUCCGAAAAGGUCUAUAGAAUAUGCAUUCUUUUACUUAUAAACAAUGUCUUAAAUAGUCGAGGUAGAGUUAUAUAGGGUCAUGGAUUUCUUAUUUUAUUCGAUGUGGGAAAUCAUAAUACACACUUAUCUCCUGUGAAGAGGGACCGUAACCAGGUUGGCUCAUAUAAAAUAACUAAAUUGGAAAUUGGUCUCUAGAUCUUAACUUUGGGUCGCGUCUAGAGGACGACAAACUACCGGUCAGUGUACAGCAGAAGAGAAAGUGAGACAGGAUACUUAUACAUCUCUUGAAAUUAAUUAGUCUUUGAGUCAAAACAAAGAGGAAGCAGCUCACAAUUCCUCCAAAACAUCAUUGCAAACGUCAUAGCUCUGUUUCCCCAAAUUCGUCAUUACAAACGUCAUUCCAUACUCUGCCUUCCUUAUUUAAAGAGUCCCAUGCAGAUGCAGAUGCAGUUCGAUACACAAGUCAGAUUUGAUCAUCCUCUACAUAGACCCAACCGAAGUAUCUCCACUUCAUCUUCUUCCCCUACAAUGACACAACCCCACUUCAUUGUGAUAACCUAUCCCGCACAAGGCCACAUCAACCCUUCUCUCCAACUGGCUAAGCGCCUCAUACGUGCUGGUGCCCAUGUCACAUUCGUCACUAGCACCUAUGCCAGUGAGCGCAUGACCAAAACCCCCACCAUGGAUGGUUUAAAAUUUGUCACAUUCCCGGACGGCUGCGACAGUGGCCUCAAGCAAAGCGAUGCCCUCCAAGGCUUCAUGUCUGAGCUUGAGCGUCUUGGCUCCCAAGCUCUUACCGACCUCCUCAUAGCCAGCGCUAAUGAAGGUCGUCCCGUUACUUGCAUAAUCUACGGCAUCCUGAUUCCUUGGGUAGCAGAGGUGGCGCAUAGUCUUCACAUCCCCUCCGCACUUUUUUGGAGUCAACCUGUCUCUGUUUUUAAUAUCUAUUAUUAUUAUUUUUGUGGCUAUGGAGAGGUCAUUCGCAAGAAAGUCAGUGACUCCUCGCCUUCCAUUGAAUUACCAGGACUGCCCUUGCUCGGUAGCCGUGACAUUCCCUGUUUCCUACUCCCCUCAAAUGCAAAUGAAUACAACUUUGUCCUUUCAGCGUUUCAGAAGCACGUAGAGAUGCUCCACCGUGACACCAACCCAACGGUACUGAUAAACACUUUCGAUGCAUUGGAACCAGAGGCCCUAAGGGCCGUCAGUAAGUUUAAGUCGAUUGGAGUUGGACCCUUGUUUCCAACCGCUUUCUUGGGUGGAAAAGAUCCAUCCGAUACUUCAUUUGGAGGUGAUCUGUUCCGUCGUUCAAAGGAUUAUAUUGAAUGGCUGAACUCAAAGCCUGAAUCUUCUGUCAUUUAUGUGUCAUUUGGAAGCCUCGCGGUGUUAUCGAAGCAACAGUCAGAGGAGAUUGCUCGUGGAUUGCUGGACAGUGGCCGGCCUUUCCUGUGGGUCAUAAGAGCCAAGGAGAAGGGAGAAGAGGAGAAAGAAGAAGAUAAACUAAGUUGCUACGCAGAAUUAGAACAACAAGGUAUGAUAGUACCAUGGUGUUCUCAGGUUGAGGUUCUCUCAAAUCCAUCACUGGGUUGUUUCGUGACUCAUUGUGGGUGGAAUUCAACCUUGGAGAGCUUGGCUUCUGGGGUGCCAGUUGUGGCAUUUCCUCAGUGGACCGACCAAUCCACGAAUGCAAAGCUAGCCGAAGACGUGUGGAAAACGGGUGUACGGGUGACCGUGAACCAAGAAGGAAUAGUUGAAAGCGAUGAGAUUAAGAGGUGCUUGGAAUUGGUCAUGGGAGAUGGAGAGGAGGCGAAAGAAAUGAGAAGGAAUGCAAAGAAAUGGAAGGGUUUGGCAAGGGAGGCUGUGAUGGAAGGUGGAUCAUCUGACAAGAAUCUUAAGAAUUUUAUGGAUGAGGUCAUACAAGGUUACUAGCUAGAUAUUGUGGUUGUAUCUCUUGGAGUUUAUGUUAAGACUCCCCGAUUAAUUUAAAUAUUUUACAAGAAGAUUUUUAUUAUUUAUGAUGUUAAUACAAGUAGUAGUAUUAAUUAAUGGUAGAGGGCAUAUCUAAAAUUAUGGGAGAUUCAUUGCUUCCUGAAGGCCCUAUCACAAAGGAUCUGUCAAAUGCGUGGCUAAGGUGCUGUUUGGUAAAUGUCCGUUACCAGCCAAAAUUUUGCAAUUAUUGCUAAUGGGAAUCAGGGAAACCCCAAACUGGCCUUGAUGGUCCUUGCGUGAAGACCCAUCCAAUUCUUUACAUUGUGGCCACUGAUUUGGUGUCUUAUCCUCUCAUGCCCAUCACUUCAUGUUUACAAAUUGAUAUUGUAUUCAUAGCUAUUUUUUAUGAAGGUUCAAUUGGCAAGAAGUAUUUUUGCCUUGGGAAGAUGUUGGUUAUGGAUUUAAAGCAAAAUAAAAGAUUAAAAAAAUGAUCCUUGUACAAAUUUUUGGGUGCCUCUAUUAAUUAAGUGAAUAUUAUUAUUUAAUUGAUAAAUUAAUAAUUUAUUAAUUUAAUUACUUAUUAAUUAGAUCUCUGGAAUAAUUCUAUUAUGGAACCUAUCUUGCACUAAGAAGCAUCCAUAGCGAUAAUAAUAUUAAAUAAAUUUUUGUUAUAGUACAAGAAUGUUACAUCAGACCUUUUUUUUUUUUUUUUUCAUAUUAGGAAUAGUUAAAGAUGAGAUUUAAGUAAACAUAAGUUUUAAGAAAAAAUAACACAUAUAUUUUACGAAGGAUUCUUGAUAAAACAUAUGAAUUUAAUUAUAUAUUAGAAAAUUAUUAAUUUUUAUAAUAUGUGGAUUUUAUAUGAAACUACAUAGAUUUUUUUUAUAAUGUAUUAUUUUAUAAAUUUAUCAAAUUAUUAGUUUAGCACGAUGACCCCAAAUUUAGAUUAAUUAAAAAAAUAUUUAAUUGAAGUUCUUAAUUAAUUAAAUAUUAAUUUAUUAUAAAGUUUUAUUGUAUUUUAUUUUCAUGUUCUGAAAACUAGUCGAUUUGAUUGGUUUGAGCAUUGAUUGACUAUGUAUUUUACAUAUGAGAUCGAUUAUGAGUUGCACUUUCAUCCCAAGGUAUUUAAAAAUUAGGAAAAUCAAUCCCAAGGUAUCUAUUUUACUUUUCUUAGUCUAUUCACCAUUGUCCAAACACUCCAUAAGUGGAAUGUAACUUGGAGGGGCUUGAAUAUGCAGAAUUUUAUAAUUUUGCACAUUAAUGUCUCAGAGUGUUAAAAUCUUUUACAACUAAUUGUAGAUAAGUUUAGUAUUGACAAAUAAUUUUAUUACAAUUAAAUUAUUUUUUAAUUUAUAAAAAGGUUAAAAUAAAGAUAUUUAAGAAAUAUAGUACCUUAACAAUUAAAAAUAACAUUGGUUGAUGAUAUCUAAGAAAUUCAAUGUUUUCUUCAACCUAAAAUGAAUAUAAAAAUUUGGUAUGAGGAUUGUUUGCUCGACUAUUGAAACUUAUUGACAACAUAGGAAGAGACAAAACUUUUGGGGAUAUAUUAAUAGAGUGAGGAAUUUGGUACUUGAUUCAUAGAGUAAAAGUUGAACAAAAGCAUCAAGAAACAUCGGGGUUGGAAAUGAUAGUGCACUUUUUAAAAGUCAUAGGUGGAAAGAGGGAAAAUUAGAACAGAUGAACCUUAAUUUUUUGGUAUUUUUGAUAGGUGUUUAGUAAAAUAAUUUAAUAUUACAAUUUAUAGUUAAAAAUGACUUAGUAUAUAAGCAGUUAAAAUGAUUUAGGGCUUGUUUGACCGUGUUUUUUAAAAUUUUCUUUUAAAAUAGAGAAUAAAAAUAGUGAACAUCAAGUUGUUGGAUGGACCAAUUUCUACUCAAUGCCAAAGACAGAACCACACGAAUAGUAGUUAGUUUAACCACAAAACUAAAGGUUUCAAGGAAAUCAAAACCGUGAGUUUGAUGAAAUCCUUUCACCGCUAAAUGUGCCUUAUAACAAUCAAUAGUUCCAUUAGGUUUAAACUUCAAUUUAUAAACCCAGUAACAUCUAAUGGUAUUCUGAUUAGACCAAGGAAGAAUGAUGACCUAUGUUUUAUUUUUCAUAAGAGCUUCAAAUUCAAGAUGCAUAGCCUAUUGCCAUUUAGGAACUUUAGCAAUUUCCUUAAAGGAAUUCAGUUCACAAAGUGGGGGAAAAAUAGUCUUAGUAGGAGACAAAAAUAACUUGAGUUCGAAAAUGCCAUUUUUGGCACGCAUUAUCAUGAGAUGACAAGUAUAGUAUGAACAUAAGAGGAAAGAGGUUGGGUUGUUGGAAUAGGUAUAACCUUAGAAAAGGAAAUUGGCACACUAGAAUUAGAUAUUGGAACCAACUUUGAAGGUGGACAUAAUGGGGGAGGUAAGAGGGAAGAUAUUGGAGAUGAUGGUACUACCAAGGGAAUGACACAAUGAGAGAGGGAAACAUAAUAAGGAGUCUGAACUAUGGAAGACUUAGCAAAUGGGAAAUCUAGUUCAUAAAAAAUAACAUGUUGUGAUAUAUGUAUUUUAUGAUUGGACAUGUUUAAAUAAAGAUAUUCUUUAUGCUUAGAACUAUAGUUGAUAUUUUAACGGAUUGAUAUGCAAGUUUAUGACAAUUAAAAGGAUGUAGAAAAGGAUAACAAAUGCAACCAUAGACAUGAAGAUAAUAAUAAUUUGGUAGACAAUGGUAAAGAGUCUUAUACGGAUCAAGAAGAGAUAUUCAACAUAGAGGUAGGAAGUCUAUUAAUCAAAUAUAAGGUAGAUUGGAAAGCAAAAGGUCAAUAUUUAAGUGGAAUAGAAGCAUGAGCAAGCAAAGAAAGACAUAUUUCAACCACAUGUCUAUGUUUUCUCUCCACAUGACCGUUUUGUUGAAAAGUAGAUGGACAAGAUACUCUAUGCAGAAUCCUAAAUUUACAUAAAGUAUCAAUAAAGGCUUGAAACUCCCCUCCCUAAUUAGUUUGAAGCACUCUAACUUUAGUGUAAAAUUGAGUCUCAAUUAUCACUUUAAAUUGCAAAAAAGCAGAGAUAGCUUGAUUUUUAGAAGCUAGUAGAUACAACCCCAAGAAAAUCUUGUAUGGUCAAUAAGAAAAAAGUACAAAGUAUCUUGCUCCAUUAGCACCAACAAUAGCGGUAGGACCCCAUAGAUCAAAAUGUAUAAGAGCAAAAGGCUAAGAGACUCUAGAUUUAGACAAAGUAAAAGGUAAGUGAUGACUCUUUGCCAUUUGACAAGGUUCACAAAUACCUAUCCAAUGUUUUGAGGGCAUACUAUAAGCACUCAAAACUUUAUUGACUAUUUUACGUGCAAGAUGACCUAAUUAAAAUGCCAUAGAACUACCUUAUUGGGAAGUUGUAAUGCAAAUAACAUACACAGGACCUCAAUUGCCAAGCUUGUUCUUCUAACAAUUUUAUUACAAUUGGAAUCUAUAUUUUUUACCAGAAGCUGAAGAUGACAAUUUGUAUAAACCAUGGUUAAGGUUGCCUUGGAGAAGAGCCUUCUUUGAAGCUUGAUCCUUCAUCACAAAUCCAUUAGUAAAGAAUUCCACAGUAACAUUAUUGUCAGUACACAACUUAUUCACACUUAUCAGAUUGGUUGUAAGUUGUGGAACAUGUAAAAUAUUCUUUAGAUUUAAAGACUGAGAAACCGACAAAAUAGUAGAGUAUCCAAUAUUUGAGAUAUUUAAGCAAUUACCGUUUCCAAUGACGACUUUGUCCAAACUAGCAAAUGGAGUAUGUGCAUUCAAGUUGUUGAAAUUUAGAGUUAGGUGAUAUGUAGCUCUAGUAUCCAUGUACCAACUUCCAUCUCCAAUAGUGGCCAGAGUUGCAAUCAUUGCAGCAAGAUGAGGUUACUCAAUUCUUAGGGUUCUUCUUUCUCAUUGGUUUUUGACUCAGAUGAGUUAACUUAGUUCCUAGAGCUCUUCCUCAAUGACAAACAAUUCUGAUUAGAGUGUGGCAAUGAGUUCAAUGAGCAAGCUGGUGAUUGGUCAAGGCCUCACCAGUGAUGAGGAUGUUGGUGAUAGCAACAAUCUAGUUGGAGAAAUGAUUUUUUCCAACACCUUCAAACACCGUAAAAAUGAUCAUAUCAUCAUCAUGAUCUUAGAUAAGAGAAACUUAAAGUUUUUUUUUUUAUUUCAAUUUCAAAUUCAAAACAAAAUUGCAGAGCACUAGAUACAAAAAAAAGAAAAAAGAAAAUAAAAGAACAAAAAAUCACUAUAGAAACCUUAGAAAACACACUAGGAAGAAAAAUCAUAGACAAACUCACAGAAGAAUUUUAUGGCUUUAGGAGUCGGAGCCGGAGCUAGAGAAGAGUCUUAAUGGACAUUGAGGAGGGACAAGAAGAGGUGUUCAACUAUAAUUUAUAUAGGCUAUAUAUAUUGUAAAUGUUGGCUUUAAAAUGUAUCUGGUAGUGACCCAAUGGAAGUGGAGUCUAUAGGAACAUCUAUGGUAGCGAUCCAAAAAUUAUUGCAGUUAUAGGAGAAUAUAUAAUAGCACUUUCAACAGUAAUCGUGACUAUGUAUAUUUCCUGGAAAAUUUCCCACCAAUCCCAAUCUCAAUCCCUUUAGAUGCAUGUGGUUGGAAUAUGCAUGAGGCCAUAUAUUAUGCGGUUGGGAUAUGAAUGAGGCUAUAUAAUAUUUUUAGUUGUGGAUUUUCUUAGCCCCUACUAAAACUAUAUUGCCAUUUCCUAUUCUUCUUGUAAUGUCAAGUUGGAAAGUCAAACUUAAUUUAAAAACUUUUUAAAUAUUAAACUUAGAGUUAGAGUUAGGUGGUGUUUGUUUUUUUUUUUUGUUGAAAACAAUUUGUUUUCAGAAUUUAAGUCGUUUGUUUUUCUAUUUUUUCAUGACUUAUUAUAUACUUUUUACCAAACAGAAAAAACCAAAAUAUGUAGUUUUUUCUAAAUAGAAAAAAUAAUAUGUUCAUUUUUUUUACUUUUUAAUACUUAAUAGAAAUAAAAUACUACAAAAACAAACAACCUAAUAUUUAACAUUAUUAAGUAUUAAGGUUCUAUUUAGAAUUAAAUAAAAAAAAAUAAAUGCCACAUUAGUUUCUAAAUGUUAAGGAGAACAUUUUAUUUUGAAUGAUUAUUUAGUGUUUGUAUUUGAGUAGUUAAGUCGUCAAAGGUCUCUGUAUUUGAUUAUUAAGAGUUUCUAUUUGGAUAAAUGUGAGUAUAUUUAUAAACAAAAAUUCAUAUAUAUAAUAUAUAUAUAUAUAUUUUAAAAAAGCAAUAGAAUACAAUAAAUUUUUAAUUCUCUCCUAUUUUAUCUUUUUUAUAAGUGUGUGUUUCUCUUUCAUCUAGACAACUCACACAAUACUAACACAAUGAGAGUAAAAGGAGAAGGGCAACAAAGAGUUGGAGCCGGAGAUCAUUGGAGGAACGGGUCAACUGUAGGCCGGUUGUCCAUGGGCUCAUAUAAGUAACAAAAAUUGGAAAUGGUUUCUAUAUCUUAGUGUCGUCUAGAAGACGACAAUCUACCUGUCAGUGUGCAGCAGAAGAGAAAGCGUGAUAUCUACUUCGAGUCAAAACAAAAGGGAACCAGCUCGCAAUUCCUCCGAUACAUCAUUACCGACGUCAUAGCUCUAUUCCCCCAAUUCGUCACUACCAACUUCAUUCUAUCUCCAUUACGCAUUAUUUAAAGAGUCCCCAUGCAGAUGCUGUUCGAAACACAAGUCAGCUUUGACACAACCCCACGUCAUUGUGAUAACCCAUCCGGCACAGGUCCCUGUCCAAAGACCCAUCUUACUCUUUACAUUGUGGCCACUGAUUUAGUAUCUAAUCUCAGGCAAAAUUCACUGGUUUGAUGAAGGUUAUAGAACAAAACUUGUGUUAUUCUUAUCUUUGUUUUUGAUGAACUUUAAAGCAUUUAAAAAGAUUCAACUGGUAAGAAGUAUUUUUGCCUUGGGAAGAUGUUGGUUAUGGAUUAAAAGCAAAAAAGACCCUUGUACAUAUUUUUGGGUACCUGUCAAGCAAAUUAAUGCACAUCCGAACAUCACAACUGUUGUCUCUUAAAUUCUUCCAAUUGACCUGCUUUCGUCUUAUUGAGCGUCUGGGUUACUUGAUAAUGCAAAAACUCAUACAGUUAUUUCGAUAAAUUAAGAGCCUCAGGCAUCAAGGAAAAUCUAUUAUUACUUAAUCGAUAAAUUAAUAAUUUAUUAAUUUAAUUGCUUAUUAAUGAGAUCUCUUGAAUAAUUCUAUUAUGGAACAAGACACCAUAACAAUAUUAAAUAAAUUUUUGUCACAGUGUAAGAAUGCCGCAAUAGAUGUAAUAUGAGAAUGUGAUAUUUAAUUAUGGGCCUCCGCUUAAAAUAAGUAAAUAAAUAAUUAAUAAUUAAAAUUUAAAUAAAAUAAAUAAUUAAUUAAUAAUUAAAAUACAAAUACUAGACUCACAUUCUGAGCAGCCGCUUCUAAACUCUUAUACGCUACAAAAAAACAUACACAAAGAAAUCUAGGAUUCUAGAUUUAAGUGAAGAGAAAGAGGAUUUGAUCUUUUUGUUCUUUCUCGAAAAUUUCAUGGUAAGUGAUACUUCUUAAAGAUUUUUUUUUUCAGUUUUUCUUCUUAGAAACUUUAAUUUCCUAAUAAGAUUCAGAAAUAAUUAAUAAAAACAAGAAAUUAAGAAAUACAUUGAAAGUAAUUAAAUCUAAUAUGAUAGAAACCUAAUAAUAAUAAUAAAAAUAAUAGAAAGUUUGAUGUAUUAUUUCUGAUACCUAAAGGAAAAUUCUAUAUGAAAUUGUGGAGUUAAUGUUUUUUUUUUUAAAUAUAUAAUAAUAACAAAAAACAAUAGAAAGUUUGAUGUGUUAUUGCGUAAACCUAGAAGAAAAUUCUAUAUGAAAUAGUGGAGUUAAUGUUUUUAAAAUAUAUAUAUAUAUAUAUACUAGAAAUUCUUAUGUGUAGGAGAUAAGAAUUCUAUUGGAGGCCUCCAAUUUUAUUAUGUUAGGAUUCCAUAAUGAAUUAAAUUAAAUUAAAUUAAUAUAAUUUAGAUUAGAUUAAUUAUAACUGUGGGAAUUGAAAAGCUUAGGAUGACAAUUAAGAAAUGGAAAUAUGAUAUUUUUUCUAGAUAAAUGAAUAAUUUAUAUAUAUGUUAAAAAACUAUAUAUAUUUAGAAUAUAAUUAUUAUUAGAACAUUAGUUUAAAGAACCCUUAUAAUUUCUCAGGUAAUUCAAAGGAAAUUCUACCGCUUUAAUAUUUGGAGUUUAAGUCCAAUUAAGGGGACAAAUUAAAAAAUAUUUAAGUAUAAUUUUCUUUUGAAAGUUUCAAGAAAUUGGGAAAUAAUUUUGUUAUAAGGUAUAUGUUUGCUUAGAUGUGUGAUAUGAAUUUUUUUUUGUUUAAAAGAAAAAAAAAAUAGGACUAGUAAUCUAAUCCCUGUUAAUAAAGGAAAGUGUUUUGACUUUGGGUCAUAUAAAGUAACUAAAUUGGAAAAUGGUCUCUAGAUCUUAACUUUGGGUCGCGACUAGAAGACGACAAACUACCGGUCAGUGUACAGCAGAAGAUAAAGUGAGACAGGAUACUUAUACAUCUCUUGAAAUUAAUUUGUCUUUGGUCAAAACAAAGAGGAAGCAGCUCACAAUUCCUCCAAAACAUCAUUGCAAACGUCAUAGCUCUGUUUCCCCAAAUUCGUCAUUCCAUACUCUGCCUUCCUUAUUUAAAGAGUUCCAUGCAGAUGCAGAUGCAGUUCGAAACACAAGUCAGAUUUGAUCAUCCUCUGCAUAGACCCAACCGAAGUAUCUCCACUUCAUCUUCUUCCCCUACAAUGACACAACCCCAUUUCAUUGUGAUAACCUAUCCGGCACAAGGCCACAUCAACCCUUCUCUCCAACUGGCUAAGCGCCUCAUACGUGCUGGUGCCCAUGUCACAUUCGUCACUAGCACCUAUGCCGGUGAGCGCAUGGCCAAAACCCCAACCAUGGAUGGGUUAAAAUUUGUCACAUUCCCGGAUGGCUGCGACAGUGGCCUCAAGCAAAGCGAUGCCCUCCAAGGCUUCAUGUCUGAGCUUGAGCGUCUUGGCUCCCAAGCUCUUAUCGGCCUCCUCAUAGCCAGCGCUAAUGAAGGUCGUCCCGUUACUUGCAUAAUCUACGGCAUCCUGAUUCCUUGGGUAGCAGAGGUGGCGCGUAGUCUUCACAUCCCCUCCGCACUUUUUUGGAGUCAACCUGUCUCUGUUUUUAAUAUCUAUUAUUAUUAUUUUUGUGGCUAUGGAGAGCUCAUUCGCAAGAAAGUCAGUGACUCCUCGCCUUCCAUUGAAUUACCAGGACUGCCCUUGCUCAGUAGCCGUGACAUUCCCUGUUUCCUACUCCCCUCAAAUGCAAAUGAAUACAACUUCGUCCUUUCAGCGUUUCAGAAGCACCUAGAGAUGCUCCACCGUGAUACCAACCCAACGGUACUGAUAAACACUUUCGAUGCAUUGGAACCAGAGGCCCUAAGGGCCGUCAGUAAGUUUAAGUCGAUUGGAGUUGGACCCUUGUUUCCAACCGCUUUCUUGGGUGGAAAAGAUCCAUCCGAUACUUCAUUUGGAGGUGAUCUGUUCCGUCGUUCAAAGGAUUAUAUUGAAUGGCUGAACUCAAAGC
rnacentral:lncRNA from 1 species